AGAGUUUGAUAAUGGCUCAGGAUGAACGCUAGCUACAGGCUUAACACAUGCAAGUCGAGGGGAAACGGACAUCGAAAGACUUGCUUUGUAUGGCGUCGACCGGCGCACGGGUGAGUAACGCGUAUCCAACCUGCCCACCACUUGGGGAUAACCUUGCGAAAGUAAGACUAAUACCCAAUGAUAUCUCUAGAAGACAUCUGAAAGAGAUUAAAGAUUUAUCGGUGAUGGAUGGGGAUGCGUCUGAUUAGCUUGUUGGCGGGGUAACGGCCCACCAAGGCGACGAUCAGUAGGGGUUCUGAGAGGAAGGUCCCCCACAUUGGAACUGAGACACGGUCCAAACUCCUACGGGAGGCAGCA
rnacentral:rRNA from 1 species